AGGGGAGGGGAGACUCGUGGAGUUCAAAGUGGACGCUCUGCGCAAGUCGUUUGAGUGGCGUGAGGAGCAGUGGAUGCCUCUGGAUGCAAGGCAAGAUGUUGCAGCCAAGAUAACCCUUGACCUGAAGAAGCGGAAGGCGGCGGCCGCGGCCGCGGCAAGCCCAGCAGGACUGCUGCUGCAACCUCGGGAGGAUCCUGGAACUGCAAACUCUGUUCCUCCACGGAAGAGGAUCCUGGAACUGGGUCACCCUUCCAAGGAAGAAAGGCUGCAGGAUGGAAAGAGCAAGGGUCCUGCUGAUGAACCUGCCAAGACAGUUCCAGACAAGGCAAGCCCGCAGCAGCGCCGUGAGGAGGGUGAUGGAGAUGGCCUGUCCUGUGGCGGCGGCUCAGCUGAUGCCAAGCGGUGCCGGGUUGAUCCUGCAAACUCUGACAGCCUCAACUACGCUGAACGCAAGGGCAAGGCUGCGAAAUCUUCUGGCGUCAAGAAAAUGGGGUCUUCGGAGGGCAGCGGCAGCCAGGGAGGCACCAGUGGCUCCGGCUCCAGUGGAGGCGCUGCGCCGGUGAAGCCAGCAGUGCCUAUUAAGGAGAUAUGUGUCACCAAUGGAGAGGCUCCUCUCGUCGCCAUGGACGAAUCGGAGGUGAUCGAUCUGACCAUGUAUGACUGAAGCUGGUAGCAGGAUAUGAUGAAGUCUCUCUGGCCUCAACUUUCCAUUCAUGAACUGUUAUUUCUCAAACAUUUCGUUCAUUCGCCUAUCGCAUGUGUGCGUGAUUUUUAUUACCAUUCUAGGCACAUAGUUGUUUGUGCUUUCUGAACUUCAAAUAAAAGGAGACAUUCGUCGUAUGUUUUGCUCCUCAUCUUUGGUGUCUGUCAACUACUUGUCAGGAAUUCUUGUUUUUUUCAGCUCAAAAAAAAAUAUUCUUGUUUUUCUUCUUCCUGGAGUACACCAAGCGGUGUAUCAUCAUGCAUCCAAAGGAGAAAGCCAGGCAAGUUGUUGGCUUGGUGGUUCAGCUCCCCAAACUGGCCCAGGAAUCUGAUCCUGCCCAAAUAUGCUGCAGGUAGUUUUCACUGUCUGGACACCAAUUCUAGUCUUACUGCUAGUACUUCACUGGGUAGCCGAUUUCCUUGCAGCAUAUUAAUCUCCUGGUGAAACUGGCUGGGUCAAACUAGCCAGCUACAUAAUCUGGUGGCCUGCAACUUUCCACCAUUAUCACCACUUAUCACCGCGAAAGCGCAGGAUGAUUCUCGUUUUCGCUUGUAAAGAUGAAGUCUAGAUUCUAAUUCCAAGCGCACACAAGGCUGGCGGAGUCAAGACUGAUGCCAUGAGAAACUAGAUAGAAAAGCUCGGAUAUGUUCACACAGAUUUUGCGUAGCCUUUUCCUAGGUUGUUCUCGCUGUGGCGCAUAGAUGUCUUUAUUAUUGUGAGGCUUCUGUCACCACUAGUGUAUCGAUCUCUAUCGGCAUAAUGAAUGGUACUUGAUAUACAUAAGAGAUACUACGUAGUAUGUGGAAGAGAAGAAUGGCAUUAGUGAGAUCAAAUUCCAGCAAUUUUGCGUCUCAUAGGCUACACUGCAAAAUUUCGGAUACACCGAACAACAUUGUUUUCUGAGCUUGAAGCGUAAAUUUCUAUUUCUAGAAUUGAUGGCGGACAGAGAUAGUUGCAGUAAACCCUUUUUAGAUGAGGCCAAGAGCCUCAGAUGUUUUCGCCUCAACAAGUCUGGUGCCUCAUUGCUAACAGCCCAGUGCCCCAACAUGUCAUCUUCCAUGCCACUUGUCACUUGAGCGGUAUUGGGACAAGCAAUUAUUUUGUUGAACAACCUCAAUCGUAUAAGCAGGCAUUACAAUACGAUUCAACACAUCAUCUAGAUACCCUAGCACAAGAAUGGGCAGCGGGGCUGGUGCUUCACCCAGUCCGUGUGCGUGCAUCUGUUGCUCAGGGCAGUUCCUGGCUGUGGUGGGAAGGCACAUGCAGACGCCGACGAACCAGCGAACAUGAGGAUUGCAUCAACCGGUUGCUUGCUGCACCCAACAACGGCCUACUGGCCUCUCGCGCAAUGCCAACCUGGAUGCCGGUCACCAACAAUUGUACGUACAUGGCACACAUCAUUAUCUAGUUUUUUUUACGCGUCAUCCCAUGGUUUGACCUGUCCCAAAGAGGCGCUCUGUGCCAAAGCAUCCCGUUCACACAUAGCACAUACGAUGAUUUAGAAAAUGUAUCGUAAGUAAAUUAAGGAGUAGUAGAAGAUUGGAUGGAAGCAAAUUCACGAGAGGAUGGAAAAAAGGGUGCAUGCACCAGAUGAAAGUAUCCGGUGUGUGUAGAUGACCCAUGCACAAAAAUUAGUGAAGGAAAGCUUACCUUUUCUUUCUUUCUUUGGAGUGGCCUGAAGGAAGAGGACGAGAUGUAGAAAGGCAAUACCUAGUAGAAAAUUAAUAAUGCAAUAAUACGCUGAGGAGAACGGACAGAUGAGGAGACAGAAACGGGAAAGUUGUAACCAGCCUUUAUUUUUAGCACGUUAUACAACUGUCACGCCGUAGAGCAACGAAGAGGUGUACACACACCGGUGGCCAUGACAAGUGUCGUGUUAGUCAAAAAGGUAGUUGCUAAAAUAAGAAAAUACUUAAGACGAGCAUUUAUCACGAUGAAAUUUCUAAUAAGAUUUGAUCAAAGUAUGUUAUACAUAGAAUCACAUCCCUGGCGGCCAUUGAGUGAAUAGCUCCAAACACUUUGCUAUCAUCACCAUAGGACUUUCUUAUUUUCAACCCUAGCAAUAAGAGCAACUCUAGCAGACCCCGCAAAACGCCCGGUCUGCAAAAAUUCCGGCAAGUAUGCGGGCUCGGGCCAUUUUUGCGGCCAGAACAGAGCCGCAUAUUCGCCCAGCCCACAAAAACUUUUGCCGCAGCCCACAAACCGCACGUCCCGAGCACUACAAGAGCAACUCUAGUAGACCCCGCAAAACGCUGGCCCACAAAGCGCAUUUGUAGUUCACGCAAAACAGCUUUUGCGGGCCGACGCGGGCUGGUACAGAUGCAGACCCCCCAAACGGAUUCGUAAAAAAGUAUAUUCGCAGAAUAUGCUUUUUACGGGUCGGCUAUGCGGGUUCUGCUCUUUGCGCCGCUGCAUCCCCGCAUAUUAUCAGCCCGCAAAUCUCAAAUCCAACAUAAUUCAACAAUCGAAAACAAAUUGAAUUAUUCAAAUCAAACAUAAAAUAAUAAUCAUCCGCAUUAUAAAUAAUUAUUCAAAUCAUCGUAGCAAACUUAAAUUAAUGCCCGCGGCAAUUUGCCUCGCAAGCUUCAACAAUUUUCAUAAAAAGGGAUCGGCGCAUUCGAUACCUUCUGCGGAAGAGGUGCACAGGAUAUGUAGGAUUCUCCGAAGAAUAAUCUUGCAUCAACAUCUCGUUUCCAAGAUGGCGAUUCCGCGGAAUGCACAGACGCCUGACAGUAGAUCCUCGCCUCCUCUUCCGGUACUCGUCUUCAUGCUCCUUCACGGCAAACGCCAUGACCAAUGUUUGCUGCCGAAAGGUCGCAAGCAUGGUCUCAACAUCCGAGUCGUCCGAAUUGGACGAAUCGGAUAGCAAGAACUUCUCGCACGGGGUCAACUCCAUCUACACGCACACCGGCACGUCAAUCUACUACACAGCUCGCAAAAAUCACAAAAAAGGGACUAACCGGUGGCGAGUUUGAUGUGGUCGGCGGCGACAAGGGUGGUGCGCUCGGCGGUGGUCGAUCCCAGCGGCGGCGGCGACUGGGGGCGGCUCUUCUCGCCGGAUCCGGAGAGGCGGUGCAGCGGCUCGGCGCAGGAGGGUGUGGGGCGGCCCCGCGGAGCGAUUCCGCCCGCAGAUAUGGUCGGAAUCGCCGGCGGCGGGUGGGCGGAAACAAAGGCGGACGGCGGCGGGAGGAGGGGGAAAAGAGCGCGGGCUGAAAUAUCCCUCCCGCCAACUGCUUCUCUGUGAUGCAGGGCACCGCAGCCGCGAGGCGGAAACCCGCGUUUUCCCGGGUUGGGGUCAGGAAUUUGCCGCGCCCCCUAAAAAUUUUUGCGGGCCGGGGACGGAUGCAGGGUCUGGUCGGGCAGGCUUCCGGCCCGUACCCGCAUUUUGGCGGUUAUUUUGUGGGUCGGGGGCGGAUGCGGGGUCUGCUAGAGUUGCUCUAAGUGCGGUUCCGCGACCCUUUUGCGGGUCCAAACCCUAUCCUCCCGCCACCGUGAGCCACCCGAUUCCCCUUUCUCCUCUCCCAAUUUCUCGCCGCCGGCGACCCUCCGCCCCGCCUCCAGCCACCAUGUGGGGGCGAAUGUGGAGCUCCAGACGCGGCUCCGGCAGCCGAUCCGGCCGUGAGAGGGACCCGGAGCGCGAGCGGCGCGUCUGGUCCGGCGGCGCGAGGAAGCGCGGCGCGCGGAAGUGGACCAACCGCAGGCUUUCGCCGCCGGCGAGUUUCGACCGCCGGGAGACGGUGGAGUACGACCGCCGGCGCGCGUCGUUCUCCUCCGCGCGUUCUUCGUACAUCGGAUCCUCCUCCUCCUCCUCCGCGGGCUUCCUCCCCGUGAAGAGGGGGUGGUCGGACAAGGAGGAGGAGCCAGAGUCGCCGGCACCGUUCCCCUUCGUGCCGGUGAAGGAGGAGCCCAAGGAGCCCGCUCCGCUCGGCCGCCGCGGGGUCGUCGGGCCUGAGGACUACGUCGCGGAGUUCGAUGCUAUCGCUGCCUCCAUCGCUGAGCGGAGCGUGCGCAAGGAGGAGGAGCAUCACCGCCACGCCGAGGAGCUCGAAGCCCUCGAGUGCCGGCAGGCGGUCGCCGCCAAGGAGAAGGCCGAGGAGUGGCGCCGCAUCCGCGCAGAGCAGGCGGAGAAGUUCGUCGAUCUUUGCAGCUCCGGCGAGGAGGAGUGAGCGUCCGGCUCCUCCACGGCGUCGUCCAGUUGCCGCGACCUCGCUGCCGUUUAGAUCCGACCCCCUAGUACUAGCUUAACGUAGUAUGUAUGCUUGUAGUGUGAUGAACUAUGUAGUAUGCGAUGAACAAUGUAGUAUGUGAUGAGCUGUGUUUGUGCAAUUUCUCCCGCGAAAGAAGUUUUUCAAAUUAUGCAGAUUUAGAUACGGGUUCUGCUUGGACGCGUAUGUUUCUGACCCGCAAAAGCGAGUCGUAUUUUUGGGGGGUCUGCUAGAGUUGCUCUAAGAGUGUUGACAUCCACAUGUUUUACACUAUAGCCCUUCAUAUCUAAAUUUAUCCUCUCCUUUAUCCCCCUUUUGAUACUCUUGAACAUACUACACCUCUAGCCCAUAUAUCAUUGCCCCCUCACCCCCUCUCACAUAUCGUGCUUGCCAUGUUCUCAUGACCUGCCUAUAUAUUAGCAUCUCUCCUCCCUAGCAUUUUGUUGAGCAAGACCAGUGUCAAAAGUUAAGCUUUUAUAUCUACUGUAGAGCGUAUCACAUGCCAACGCAUAAAAAUAAGGCUUGAUUGAAGAAAUAUUGUAUAAUUUAAAUAUGAAAUUGAUAAUAAAAUGCACCAACAAAUGGUUUGAGACAUACGAAAGGAAAGUUAAUUAAUGUUUAUUUUUGGAUGCUAAAAAGAAUAUAAAAUAUAGUAAUUCAUUAGAAAACAUAAAUGAGAAUGGGUUGAAACUCAACAAGGUUUGUCAUUUUACUUUGAAUGAGCAGUGGAGGUAUUAGACAAAAAAUAGUAUUGGUGUCCAAAUGUGAGACCCCUGUGACACAUAAAAUAUAUGGUAUGGCGAGGCGUGUGUCAUCACUAGUGUCUAGAUCUCCGUCGGCAUAAUUAAUACUUGGCAUACAUAAGAAAUACUAGUAUGUACAGGAGAAGAUAAUGGCAUUAGUGCAAAAAUUCUCCGCCGGUUGCUUGCUGCACUGAAUAGCGGCCUACUGGCCUCGCUCGCAACGCUAACCUAGACAUCGGUCACGAAUAGUGAUACUUAGGUGCCACACAUUAUCCUAUGGCUUUUUUGCGGGUCAUCCUAUGGUUCGACCCAUUCCAAUGGGCGCUCUGUGCCAAAACAUCCUGCCUAUGUACAGCACAUAUGAUCGACGAUUAUUUGGAAAACAUAUUGUAAGCCAAUUAAGGAGUAGUAUAGAAGAUUUGGAUCAAAAAAAUCAACGCACGGAGUGCAGAAAGUGCAUAUACAAUGCACAGCUCAUAGGAAUUGUUAGCAUGCAUUGCAUGCACACCGGAGGAUGGCAAAAAAAGGAGGCUGCAUGCACCAUAUGGACGUAUCUGGUGCAAUAUUACUUGGUGUAGGUGUAGAGGACCCAUGGACAAAAAUUGAUGAAAGAAAGCUUACUUUUUCUUUCUUUGGAGCAGUAUGAAGGAAGAGGACGAGAUAUAGAGAGGCAAUUACCUCGCAGAAAUUAAUGCAAUACACUAUGAAGGAUGGACGGAUGAGGAGACACAAACGGAAAAGUUGUAUCUAGCCUUAACAGAUGAGGAGACACCGUAGAGCAACCAAGGGGUGUAAACACACAGGUGGCUAUGACAGUUGUCGUGCCACUUUAAAAGGUAUGAGGUAACGUAAGAAAAUAACCAACAUGGGCAUUUAUUACAAUAAAAUUUCUAAUAAAAUUGGUCCAAAGUAUCCUACGCACAUGCACGGGGCCACACCUCCCUUGUGCUCUUUAAGUGAAUAGAAAACAACUUUGCUAUGACCACCCUAUUUUUUUAUUUUUGACCCGAGAAAUAAGCAUGUUGUCUGUUAACCCACAAGUAUAAGGGAUCGUUUGUAACUUUUUUGAUAAAUAAGAGUGUCGAAUCCAAUGAGGAACUAAAGGUAGGACAAAUAUUUCCUCAAGUUCUAUUGACCAUCGAUACAACUCUAUGCACAGUUAACGUUUGCUUUACCUAGAACAAGAAUAAAACUAGAAGUACUUUGUGAGAAUAAAAUUAUGAAUAAAUUGUAAGAUAAUAAAAGUAGUAGAUAGCUUUUGUCACACAAGAAGGUCAUUUGUCCCUAGGUGAUCGAUAACUAGACCGGAGAUUAUUAUUGCAAUUUUAUAUGUUGAAGAAGCAUGAGCUAACAUACUUUCUGUAUUUGGAUCAUAUGCACUUAUGAUUGGAAUUCUAGCAAGCAUCCGCAACUAUCAAAGAUCAUUAAGGUAAAACUCAACCAUAGCAUUAAGUAUCAAGUCCUCUUUAUCCCAUACGCAACACCCGCCUUGCUCGGGUCUGUGCUUUUAUCACUCACGCCACCCACCAUAAGCGAAUCAUGAACGUAUUGCAACACCCUACAGCGCGGAUCCUUCACGUUUGCGCGACACAGAGAGAACCGUAGGACAGCACCAAAAUAAAAUAUACAACUCAUACCAAUCAUGAUCAUCAAUCAACCCAUAGGACAAAACAGAUCUACUCAAACAUCAUAGGAUAACCACAUAUCAUUGGAUAAUAAUAUAUAGUGUUGAGCACCAUAUUUAAGUAGAGAAUUGCAGGGGAAUAGAGAGGUUACACUGCUUCAUAGAGGGGGAGAAAGUUGGUGUUCACGGUAGCAAGAUUGUUGAUGUAGAUCGCCUUCACGAUCCUAGCCUCGACGGCACUCUGGCGUCAUCGGGAGAGAGAGGGAGAGAGCCCCCCUCCUUCUUAUUCUUCCUUGACCUUCCCCCUAUAUGGGAGGAGGGUUUCUCCUCUAGUCCAUGGCCUCCAUGGUGGUGGAGGAGUGAGAGCCCCUUCGAGAUUGGAUCUAUCUCUUUAUUAUCUUCUGUUUCGCGUUUCCCAGAUCUAGCCUUUCACCGUUUUCUAAAUAUCCGAAGAUCCGUAGCUCCGACCGCGCUGAAAUUUUAACACGAACUUUUUCCGGAUAUAAGCUUCCUUGCGCCCGAAGAAUGGCAGCAACCGCCUUACUAGGUGUACACCACGCGCCAGGGGGCUGGGUCGCGCCCUGGUGUCUUGUUGGGGCUGUCACUAUUAGGAAAAGGGCUAAAGAUGAAAUUGACACUAAUGGCGCACUGUACAUGUGGUGCGCCAUUAUUAAAUACUAAUGGCGCAUCAUGUGUUGGUGCGCCAUUAGUGUGCAAAUACUAAUGGCGCACCACAUCCACGGUGCGCCAUUAGUAAAAAAAAUAAUUUUUUUUAAAACUACUAAUGGCGCACCGUGGGGGUGGUGCGCCAUUAUUAGUUGAACUAGUAAUGGCGCACCAUGCCAUGGUGCGCCAUUAGUAACUUGACCACCACUUCCACCGAAUGCACCCCCCCCACCCGUGGACCGCCUUUUUCAGUUUUUAAAAAAAUAAAAAAAUGAUGGAAAUGUCAAAAAAAUAAAAGAAAAUAAGUUUUCCAUGUGAUAUGUGGUCUAGUUGUUGUGAAAAUUUACAAAUAUGAAUUUCAACUUUAUUUGCGAAAUCUCUCGAGAAUUUGUAAAAUGGGCAUAACUUUUGCGUACGAACUCGGAUGAAAAAGUUUUUUAUAUGAAAAAUCAUCUAGUCAAAAAGUUACAUCCGAACCCGUUAAACAUUUUCAAAAUCCUCAAAAACCUAACAGAAAAAAUGUUACGGGGCUUUUAAGAUCUGGGGAGGCAAAAAAAAUCAAAAAAAUUCAAACUUAUUAAUGCCGUACCUGCCCAUGAUGCGCCAUUACUAUCUUCCCGCCUUCAAAAUUCAAAAUAAGUCAAAAAAAUAAUAAAAAAAAGUUACUAAUGGCGCACCUGCCCAUGGUGCACCAUUAGUAUAACCCCACCUUCAAAAUUCAAAAUAAGUCAAAAAAUAAAGAAAAAAGUUACUAAUGGCGCACCUGCCCAUGGUGCGCCAUUAGUAUCUUCCCGCCUUCAAAAUUCAAAAUAAAUCAAAAAAAUAAAAAUAAAAAGUUAGUAAUGGCGCACCUGCCCGCGGUGCGCCAUUACUAUGCCGUAUAUACGGCUGGGCGUGGUCCUCUCCUCCUUACCUCUUCAUUCUUUUCCUCCACUCCACCUCUCCUCCACUCCGUCUCCUCCUCUCCUCCACUCCAUCUUCCCUUCUCUCCUCCAUCAUACUACCCUCCUCCUCUCCGNNNNNNNNNNNNNNNNNNNNNNNNNNNNNNNNNNNNNNNNNNNNNNNNNNNNNNNNNNNNNNNNNNNNNNNNNNNNNNNNNNNNNNNNNNNNNNNNNNNNNNNNNNNNNNNNNNNNNNNNNNNNNNNNNNNNNNNNNNNNNNNNNNNNNNNNNNNNNNNNNNNNNNNNNNNNNNNNNNNNNNNNNNNNNNNNNNNNNNNNNNNNNNNNNNNNNNNNNNNNNNNNNNNNNNNNNNNNNNNNNNNNNNNNNNNNNNNNNNNNNNNNNNNNNNNNNNNNNNNNNNNNNNUCCUCCCCUCCCCUCCCCUCACGGUUUCUCCUCCCUCCACUCCGGUGAGAUCCUCCUCCCUCCUAUCCGGUGAGCUCCUCCUCCCUCCUCUCCGGUGAGCUCCUCCUCCCUCCUCUCCUCCCAUCCCCUCAUGGUUUCUCCUUCCUCCUCUCCGAUGCUCCGGUGAACUCCUCUUCGGCGACCUCCUCCUCCUCUCCGGCGAUGUAGGCGAGCGCCUCUCCGGUGACCUCCUCCUCCUCCUCUCCGGCGAACUCCUCUCCGACAAAAGAACACGGAAAAAGAACGUACAAGAUCCAAAAACAGGAACAAAAUUUGAAAUAAUAUCGUGCCAAAAAACGAGCAAAAAAUGGGCAAAAAAAUCACGAUCCAAAUCCAAAUUCAAAAUUCAAAAAUAGCAAUGGCGCACGGUGGGGGUUAGACGGUGUGCCACUACUAUUUUCCCGCCUUCAAAAUUCAAAAAUACUAAUGGCGCACCAGUGGCCUAUACUAAUGGUGCACCAGUGGCCUAUACUAAUGGCGCACCAGUGGUGCGCCAUUAGUAAAAAAUACUAGUGGCGUGAUACUAAUGGCGCACCAGUGAUGCGCCAUUAGUAGGCAAAACUGGUGCGUCAUUAGUAGCCCUUUUCCUAGUAGUGUGUGGGCCUCCUUUUGCGUUGAUUCCACCUCCCAAAAAUCACAUAUAUUCUAAAAUAAUCCUCCAUAAAUUUGUAUCACAUUUGGACUUCGUUUGAUAUGGAUAUUCUAUGAAACAAAAAACAUGCAACAAACAGGAACUGACACUGGGCACUCGGUCAAUAUGUUAGUCCAAUAAAUCAUAUAAAAUGUUGUCAAAAGUAUGUGAAAGCUGUAUAAUAUUGGCAUGAAACAAUAAAAAAUUAUAGAUACGACGGAGACGUAUCAUUGUCAUCAACAUGUUUUAUACUAUGGUCCUUCAUAUAUAAAUUUAUUUCGCUCCUUUCAUUACUUUUUAUAAGCAUUUUGUCCUCUCUUGGUACUCUAGAAUACACUACACCUUCAGUCGAUGUAUCAGUGCCCUGUCAACCCCCCACUCCACACCCCCCCCCCACUAUCACAUAGCAUGCUCGCCAUUUUCACCAUGGAUGCAAAACGAUCGGAGCCCUUGGACAGGACUACCCAAUAGAAUGAGGACCAAACUGCCACAUUUUUUGAGGCAGGACUAAACUGCCACUUCCUAGCUCUCGGCAAGCUUCACUCAAAGUGGAAAUCCUCAUAACUUGAGGACACUCUCCGUGAAAAAUCACUCGCAUUUCCUCCUAUAAAAUCCCCCAAGACCCCAUCUCUCGAACAGUGUGUUCACAGGAACAACAAUUCGGUCCAGAAAUAGUAGUCCCUAACGAGCCCCCUGGCCCUGGCCCCCACCUGUUUGAAGCAUCCUCCACCCUCCGCUGGUUCCCCCUUUCGCUAUCGUCCACCACCAUCCAGGUGAGAAGGCCAUGAGUAGCUCGCACUAUCCGGCUGCUGUGGUGGACGAGAGUAAUGCUAAGAUGGCAGUGAGGGAGUGGGUUGGGUGGGAGGAGAUCGUGCUGGAGGGCGGCGACGGCGAGGAGCGCAAGGUGUGCUACUUCCUCCUCUACGCGCCGCCCCAGGACGGCGGUAAGAGUGAGAGGGAUCUAGCGGUGGUGGGUAAGUAUUGGGGACCUGGUAACAUAGCGUACUCGGCGGACUUGCAGUUCCUGCAAUCCCUCCGGACGUCGCUCGAGUCUGGGUCGGCGUCCGCUAGGGUGGUGACGCUGGUGUUGGAGAUCACCCAGAUCAGGUGGAAGUCUAGGAAAGAGGUCAUGGACUGGCUCACCUCGCUCGUCUCAGGUACUACGUGCUCCUUUUUUCAUGCCUUAGUGGUGAAUUUUUUGGUGGUUUUUGUACCAUACAUGAUUAAGCUAACAGAUCAGGCCGCUAGAAUUUUUACCAUGCAUCUCUAACAACUGAUAUCAAUGUUUGGUCAGUGUUUAGUAGGGGUUUACAUCUCGAACACAAGAUCCGAUCUUAUUUUUUCUUGUGUUUCUAAUGUUUAGAUCUGAAUGUUUAGGAGCCUUUUAGCGUUAAUACACAAGCUGCUCCUAUGUCCAGCCAGAUCAGUUUCUACUCAUGUUUCGUUACGUUUUUGUUCGGUGCCAAGAUUCAGUACAAGGGGGAUGAUAUCCAUGACCAUCUUGUAGUGCUCUCCUUCUAUCCCCUUCCUUUAUUAGCAGUACUUUGGGAUAUCUUUUGUCUAAUCUAAUAGAUCUACUCCUUUUUGUCAAGACGACCAGUAAUUUAUUGUUAAAGAUCUUUUGUCUAAUCUUCUAGAUCUACUCCUUUUCUCAUUCACCUCCCUAUAUGUGAUCUAUCUUGGCUUGUUUAAUUCCUGAUGUAUGUGUUUGUUAAUUUGCUAGAUCUGGUUUAUGCGUUUACUUCCUUUUGUGUUUGGUUAACUUUUUUUUAGAUUAGUGUUUGGUUAACUUAUGUGUUUCCUCUUGUGUUUGUCUUGUGAGGCCAAUAUGAUGUGGAUAGAAAUCCCCUAACUUGCCUUCCAUUGUUGUCGUCUUUGUAGAUCCCCCGUAUGGAGCCUUUGGAUUGACUUGUCCCGACUACCAUGACGGUGCAUCUAAGGUACAUACAAUCUCAAGCGUCUUCCUGAGAAAUGCUUCCUCUCAAUGUGGUGGCUCAUCUAAUAGCAAAGUUUAGUUUUGACAAUAGAUCUGAUGGUAGUCUUGUUAAUGAUGUACCGCGCUGUGUGGUGAAUUUUGUAUCGAACGAUUGUAAGUUUUGCGAUGGUUAAUUAAUGUAAGGUGGUGUUCAAAAAAAUUGAUGUAUUUGUUCAUCCAGGAUACCCCCUCAACACUCUCUACUGCCGGGGAAAAUAAAGAAGGGUUCACAUGGAUAUGCAAAUUGCGCCAUCUUGAUCAACGUCGCAAGCACUACAAAUCCUUUUGCCGAGAGGGAAUGAGAAUUUCGGUACGUGUUCAUCAAUGGCCCCCUUGUUUUCUUGGUUUGUUUUCACAUACGGACGGAUCUAUAUAUCUUGGUUUACAUCUAUUAUUAAUUGUGUCGUGCACUAUAUGUCUUGGUAGGUUCAUGAUUUUGUGUUUAUCAAGAGUGGAGGGAGAGAGAGCCAUGUUGCAUAUGUGGAAGAUAUGUACGAAGAUGGCAGUGCUAAGAACAUGGUGCUGGUACGAUGGUUUGAGGAACCUGAUGGUGAGCACGGUGUUGCAUUGCCCCCAGAUCUUUAUUGUAGGGAGAUCUUCUUUGGAUAUGGGCUGCAAGAUCUGAGGGUUGAAUUUGUGGAGGGGGUGGCAGCGGUCCUAAAUCCACAACACUUUGAGAUGUUCAAGAAAAUAAAUGGAGGGAGCAGUAGCUGGCAGCCCUAUGUAUGUCGUCGGUGCAUCGAUGAUGGCACCGUCGAGCCCUUUGACAUCGCGCAACUCCAAGGAUAUGCAAACCAGGAGAUAGUGAAGGAAAUUGUUGCCGCAUCCUCCUCGACGGUGGUGCAGGCCAAGCCACCUAAUAACAAUGGUAAAGCUUCCAUUACUGGUCUGGCCGCCAAGAAUCAUGUUGGUUCUUCCAGCACUGUUACCGGUGACAAAACCAUGGAUACACAGAAGCAGAAGCCCCCUCCAUGCAGCGUAACUCCUUCCAGCGUUGUUAUCGGUGGCAAAACCAUGGAGAAGCAGAAGGAGAAGGCCCCUGCAUGCAGCACAACUCCUUCCAGUUCCGGCUCUGUUAUCAAUGACAAAACCAUGGAGAAGCAGAAGCCUCCUCCAUGCAGCGCAACUACUUCCACUUCCAGCACUGUUAUCGAUGACAACAAAACCAUGGAGAAGCAGAAGGAGAUGCCCCCUCCAUGCAGCACAACUCCUUCCAAUUCCAGCUCUGUUAUCAAUGACAAAAACAUGGAGAAGCAGAAGCCUCCUCCAUGCAGCGCAAUUGCUUCCACUUCCAGCACUGUUAUCGAUGACAACAAAACCAUGGAGAAGCAAAAGGAGAUGCCCCCUCCAUGCAGCGCGACUCCACAGAGCACCACCAUUGGCCAGAUCGUCAAAAGCAGUGUCGUUCCCCGUAGCGUGGUGAACUGUCAGACCAUCGCGCAUAAUCAGCCGCCCCCAAGUGGUACUAGUACGUGUAAUGUAGCAGUCAAUGAUGCGUCAACCAUGCUGAACCCUGAGAAGAUGUUCCAGCCCGGCUGCCGUCUUGAAGCCCUGUCCCAAGACAGCAGCGUGAGGGGUUGUUGGUUCAAAUGUGUGGUACUCAGUAGGAGGGAGAAAGAUAACAAGGUCAGGGUGCGGUACCAAGACAUUCUGAAUUCCGAGGGCAAGGGACAGCUCAGGGUUGGUCCUUCCUCUUCUUUCUCUGGUAUCCUGCAUGUGUUGAUGAUGAUGAUGUAUGUACUCAACAUGAGUUUUUUUGUUUUCCAGGAAUCUCUCAAAGUUGCAAGAAUUGCGGAACCUGACCACUUGAGCAUACGCCUUACUAAAAGGCCCAUGCUUCGCCCACACCUCCCAAGACACUACAGGAAGAUCGAGUCUCCGGUGGCUGUCGGGGUCAUCGUCGACGCGCGGCUGAAGGGCGGAUGGUGGGAGGGGAUCGUGUUGCAGCAGGAGACUGCUGGCCACGUCCAAGUUUAUCUCCAAGGUGAACUGCCUGCCUACUCUCUUGAUCACCUAGCUAGCAGUUAAUAGUAGUAUAUAUCCAGUUGGUACUUAGCACAUUGGACUGGAGCUCUUCCUGAUACAUUGCAUGCUUGCCAAAAUUUCCAGGGGAGGGGAGACUUGUGGAGCUCCAAGUGGAGUGUCUGCGAAAGUCAUUUGAGUGGCAUGAGGAGCAAUGGAUUCCUCUAGAUGCAAGAAAGGAUGUUGCAGCCAAGAUAACCCUUGACCUGAAGGGUGGUGAGAGAUCUUCGAAACAGAAGGCUCAAAAGAUGGAUGAGCAGUCUAGCCAGACGGCGGCCGCCGCAGCCGCAGAGCUGGCAGCACCAACUGCAGAACUAGUGCAGCCUCUGGAGGAAGGUGACGAUGAACCUGCAAACUCUGCUCCUCCACGGAAGAGGUUCCUGGCUCAGGGCUACUCUUUCGAGGAAAAAAGGCUGGAGGAGCAUGCCAAAAAGAUCAAAGGUACUGCUAAUGAAGCUGCAAAACCAGUCGCGGCGGAGGGAGAUGGCAUGUCCCACGGCGGCAGCUCAGCUGAUGCCAAGCGGUGCUGGGUUGAUCCUGCAAACUCUGACGGCCUCAAUUGCGCUGAACGCGAGGGCAAGGCUGCGAAAUCUUCUGGCGUGAAGAAAAUGGGGUCUAUGGAGGGCAGCGGCAGCCAGGGAGGCGCCAGUGGAGGCGCUGCGCCGGUGAAGCCGGUGCCCAGGGAGGAGAUUUGCGUCACCAACGCAGAGGCUCCUGCCGUCGCCAUGGACAAAUCGGAGGUGAUCGACCUGACCCUAGAUGACUGAAGCUGGUGGCAGGAUAUGAUAAAGUCUGGCCUCAACUUUCCAUUCAUGAACUGUUAUUUCUCAGACAUUUCGUGCAUUCGCCUAUCGUGUUUGUGCGUGCUUUUUAUUUCCAUUCUAGGCACAUAGUUGUUUGUGCUUUCUGAACUUCAAAUAAGAGGAGACAUUCGUCGUAUGUUUUGCUCUUCAUGUUUGGUGUCUGUCUAGUUGUCAUAAAUUCUUGUUUUUUCAACUAAGAAAAUAUUCUUGUUUUUUUCUAUCU
rnacentral:lncRNA from 1 species